CAUAAAAAAUAAAUUCAGAUGAUGAUUUCUAUAUACAAGAGAACAAAAAUAGAAUCAUAUGGAAACCAUGUUAAAAUAAAUAUUUUUGGGAUGUAAAGUAUGAAUAUAAAGCAACAGAUUCAAGAGAUGUAAAUUCUGAACAAGGGUAAUAUAUUAAAACAAAUGCAAAUAAUAUGCAAAAGAAAGGUGUUGAAAUAAACAGAAGUCGUACUAGCAGAAGCUCCAUCUUUAGAUUCAAAGGCUGGUUAUUUAUUUUCCGAAAGCUAAGAACAAAACAAUGGAAACCAACAAAAUAUACCAAAAAGAGCGGCAAUUUUUUUAUUUGAGAUAUAGGCAGUUGACAAAGUCAUAAUGGCGGUUUUGGGAAAAGGCCACAAGGUAGCUAGAUGGCAAGUUUUCGUGUCAGUUGCUCUACCACGGCUAUAAAGAGAAUUCUUUAUAUUGUCAAAUUUGGAUGCGAUUAUGAAUUUUUGGUGGUUGGUUUAAUCUACAGCACUGGCAAGUCUAGCAAGUGCUUCUACCGUAGCUAUGGAUCAACCCGUGCCAUGUGAGGGAAAUUGGGUAGACAAUAAUGGUGUAUACCUAACGUAUACAUAACACAGUGAUUCUAAAGUUUUUAUGUAAAUAUUCUGAAUAUUAAUACUUUGUUUCUUGGCUGUAGUAAAAGGUGCCGGGGAGGAUUCGGACAACUAUGGAUUUUUCCUACAAGUUUUUAGACCUAUCUUGAAUAUUUGCGUUUUUAGCGAAGCGGAAAAGAUGUAGUGGCAGCUCAUAAGGUUUCAGGUUUGAGUUCGCCCUCGUCUCUAGGUAUUUUUGCCUUUUGGUAUCAAAAAGGCAAAAACCCCUUGUGAUGAGGGUGGUUUGAGUUCGCAAUCCGGCGCACUGUAAAUGCAUUGUCAGUACAUUUGCUGCUAUCCAGCUUGUGUGGAAGGUAAGCAAAUUAAUGCUAUACGUAUAGAAUUGCACAAACAAACUUUGCGUCUCUUCAUAACAUAAUUUCUAUCAUCAAGUGUGAUAUCAUGAUGGAAUGUUGGAAGGGAAAUAAUUUAUGAACAAAUUGUCCAUUUAUUUUUGGAAUCCCAAGUUAAUAUUAGCACGAGAAAUUUGCUCUCCCUUUUAACUUAUAACAAAAGACAUUCAUAACUUUCCAUUGGCUUGAUGCGACACACCUUUAAUAAUAAGCGUAGUGACGUAAUGGUUUGUAGACAACCUUGUACACAGCUUCCACAAGAUACUUUUUCAUGCAAGGAAUAUAAUAGCAAUUCGCAGACUAUACUCACCCGUAAUAAUCGGAAAUCUGACCGGGUUAAACCAUUUUCAGUAGAGAAAGUAUGCACGGAUUUAAUGGUAAACCUUCACCUACAUAUUUCUUCAUAGAACUCAUUCUGAGCAGUGGAGAAAAAUUUACUUUCAGAUAUUUUCGCGCACAUUUAUUUUCGCGCAAGGGAGGAAUAAAAUGCUGCGCACAUACACUAAGGCGCGCGAAAAAAGUCAAAAAAAGCUUUUCAGCUUUCAAAUAACAUUAGAUAGAUAGUCAUAAAGUCAAAUCAUUUUAGUAUACGUGUUAUUUACAUAAAAAUAAAAAUCGACAGAUGUUAAUAACUUUUAAUAUAGAUGAACGACAUUUUCACGAUUGAGAAAUUACUAACAGCUAUCAAAAAAGAUUCGCGCAAUUCAAAAGUUUUCUA